UUCAUAUAAUUACUUUAAUUUAUGUAUUGUAUGUCUUUUAUUUGACACUCUGAACAUGUGAAAUAAACAAGCUUUCUCAUACAAUCUUUUCCUCAACAAAUAGCAACAAAUCUCAAAUUUUGCAAAAUAUCAUUCUAACAAUUUCAAUAUUGUAAACUAUUUUUGCACAGAUAUGCAUAACAUAUGUAGAGAGUUGUUCUGAUAUAAUUAUAGUUAUUUAUGAUAAUAAGAAAAACAUAAUUUCCCAAUAAAUUAGAAAUGUAACUACCACAAAAAUAAACAAACUAAAAAAUACAGCAUUCAUGCAAAAUCUAUACAUGAUGAAUUUUAAAUUGUUAUAUUUUUGGAAUUGAUAGUAGCAUUAUUCAACUACAAGUACCGAAUAAAAUUGUGAUAAUAUUUUACAACGAUAUUUUGAGUAAUUCUCUCUUUCUUUUUCUUUUUUUCAAACAUCCAGACAAAUUCUGAAGAUUAAUUUUGGAAUUGAUUGAUUUUGCUCGCACUGAUGCAAAGAAAUUGCAGUGAG
rnacentral:lncRNA from 1 species